rnacentral:antisense_RNA from 1 species
CGGCUGGGCGCUCGAGACGGCGCCCCCAGAUCUCCCACCGGGCAGUGUCCCCAGCUGCAGCUGAGGAGAGAAGCGCCGGCGUGCGCGGUGCCACGUCGGAAUUGGCUCUGGGGACGCUGCAGCUGCCGAAGCGCAGCGCGCGGUCCCCACGCACGCCCUGCCCCCGGGCGGCCGGCGGGCUGGCCCGGCGAGGAGAAGAGGGAUGCGCGCCCUCCUCCCGUUCCCAUCUGCGGGUGCCACCGCCUGCGUCAGGGACCCCUGGCCCGAUCUUUCUGCCCCCGAUAACAGAAAAUCUCUUUUUCGUCUUAAAAAAAAAAAAAAAAAAAGCCUGUGGAAGACUCAGCAGAACCCAGGAAGCGCAGAAUCGGGAGAAAAGUCUUUGGCUGGGGCUGUUUCAAGUCUCUGGUUCAAUGGGCUGCUCGAAGCCAGGACUGGGAUCUUCUGAGGGGUGGACUUCUUUGGAACUUGACAGGACCUUGAAGACUGGGUUCUUAGUCCUUAUCACAUAUAUGGGCUAUAAUGAAUAAGUCUAAACAGAAAAGUCGAAUAAACUGAAAAUGAUGCUUUCA